CUGGCAUCCUUGCUGUCCUCACCCCGACACAGGUGUGCCUGGGCCUUGCACAACAAGGUGACGCCAUGCGAGCGUGGCAGGGCCGGGGAAGCCUUUGCUCCUCACCCUGGUGAGGCCCAUGAGGGGCUGCAGGUGGAGGGAGGGUGGCACCGGGCCCCAGAGCCAGGAGCCCCUGCUGUCCCCGGAUGGCCGAGACCCUUGGAGGGCCUUGGGAGAGGCGGUGGGGCAUCUGGACAAAUGCCUGGUGCAGGUGAGAAGGGGUGGGACUACCUCCGGCAUCCCUGGGCUGAGCCCACCUGGUCUCCCCGGUUGCUCCUGCACACGGCAGUGCCCACCUGCUUCCCUCAGCUCCUGAGGGGCUGGGCAGAGCCUGUUGCUCACGCCACCCCACUCAGUGCUGCUCCGGGUUGUGAAAGCUGCAGGUGGCUCACGUUAGCCCACAUGGCAGCACCCUCCCAGAGCAGGUGCCAACCUGCCAGUGUAGACACACCGACUGAUGCCGGGGGUGAGUGUCCUGUAGUGUAGAAACGCCCACUCAUCCUGCUUGUCCCGCAGAGAGCAUUUGUCAAGCUGGCCUUUCUCCAACUGGGUCACUGAUGGAGUUCGGCAGAGACGGCUUGGGGGCCACGGGCUGGGCAGAUGGGGAGAGCUCCUCACAAGGCUGGGCAGCCAGACCCCCAUUGUCAGUCCCCUCCAAACCCUCGUGGGAUGUAGGGCCCUACCACAGGGAGCCCCGGGACUGGGCCAGUGUCUCAGGAGGCUGUGAAGAGUCAUAGGCUUGAGUCUGGGAGCUUUCUCGGGGGCCGUUUUGUGCCCCUUGGGGAGAGGCCAGAGGGGCCCUGGGUAAGGGGACUCCUCUAGAAUCACCCAGAAGUGGCAGGAGGUGCAGGGCCACUGCUCGGGGCUCCCUGGGCUCUGAGCUGGGCAGUGACCUGGCCCCAAGGCCUCUGGCUCUCUGGCGUGCAGUGGGAACAGCCGGGACAGACAGGCUUGGAGCGUUCGUGUCCUGCGCCGCGUUGGUGUGUUUCGUCCCCACUGUGCCUGUAGGAGGGCACCGGGUCCCCGUCUAUCCUACUUCAUGGCUGAGGAAGCUAAGGCACAGAGUGGCCCCGUCCUGCGCCCAGGGCUCUGCGUUGGCACAGGGCAGAGCUGGGCUGUGAAUCAGGGCCGCCUUGUCUCUUGCUGUGGUGUGAGGCUGUGGGAGACUCAGGAAUGAGGCACAGCCAGGUGCCCAGUGCCCGUGGGACCCGCCUCCCCACAGUGGGGUGGCGCCGCUCACACCUGACUCCUCAGCUGAGGGCCCUCCAGGACCGCCCUUCCCCAGCUGGAGGUAACCAGAUUUCUCGUGUAUGCUAGGAAGUUCCCCUUCUGGUCACACCUCAAUAUUUCCUGCUGCUGGUGGGAACUGCAGGUGCUUGUACUUGUCACCUUCUCCCCGUCCUCUCUCGUCAGUUCCCUUGGAUGCUGGACACGGGAGCCACCUGGGCGAGGGGAGCCCAUCCAAGUGGCUGUGCGUCGGGAAGAGUCUGCCCAGGACUGGGCUAGACCAGAACUUAGAAUUAAGGAGUGGUGGCCAGGCUUGGUGGCUCACACCUGCAAUCCCAGCACUUUGGGAGGCCGAGGCGGGUGGAUAGCUUGAGCCUAGGAGUUUGAGAACAGCCAACAUGGCGAAACUCUGUCUCUUAAAAAAUAAAUAAAAA
rnacentral:lncRNA from 1 species